CUCACACACAACUGCGCCGCCACCGUACUCCAAACCCUAUUUCCCAUUCCGAUCGCCCCUAUUCAUCUCAUCCCUGCUCUUCCAUCGACAUAAAUCUGAGCGAGGAUCCAAAAAGAAACCGUCGGUCUUUUCUUUCGCCCUGCAAAUUGCUCCCCAUCCCUUGUCCUCUUCCGGAAACUACAACGUGCGACGCCGUAGGAAUCGGCCUUCCGUAGCGUACACCUCACCGCAGAUCUGCGCCAGCUGGGAUUCUGAAUCAACGUCUUCUGCCAACUUCUGGGUCAUCUCCUUCGUCCACCCCGGAGUCAGGUCGCAGCGCCUCUAACACCGAUCUCUCUUCCUCUAUCGAUCUGCGUCUUUUCUAUUUCCCCAACGUCUCUCCUCUCAUUAUCACUGCCGUUUAUUCGACUUUCUUGGCUUCUAGAUUUUUUUUUCUCUCGUUCUUUCGUGGCACAUUUGGACCCUGUUUUAUUACAGUAAUAUCUACAAUUCAUGAAGGCUUAGUUUUCUUGCAUCGGCUCCCUGGUGCUGGCUCAAAAUCUUUUUCCCAGCCAACAGCAGCAAUUUUUUAUUUUUGGUGGUAUUCGUUCUGUAAAUUUGCAGUACUUUUUUUUUUUAAUCUUCGAUACUGCUGUUGGAGACUGAAGUUGAAGGUUGAUUUUUGCAGGUAGCAAACUUUAUCGUGGAGUGAGAUGAUCGAGCUUGGCCGAAGGAAUGAGGAUAAGUCGUGCAUGAUUUGGCUUACUCAUGAAACUUCAGGAUGAAGAAAAAACAUUCCGGUCUUUUUACAUUUGGCAUGGGAGGAAUUGGAAAGAUUUUGCUGGGACAAAUACGAUGAGCUCGAGAUAGCACAUAGAAGUUCAUGUGCUAGUGAGGAAACUGAGUCAUCUAUCGGUAAUAAUUUGGAUUUAUGGUUGAAGGCUAGUGGGGGGCAGAAAGGGGGAAGGAUAUUGGGAAUGAGUUCUUUAAGCAAAAAUCAUAGAGUUUCCCGUAAAUCAUUUUCCACCCCAAUAACAGUUACGACUCAGAUCAAUUCCUUGACUGAAGAGGUUUCACAUUUAAAGGGCAUAAUAUUAGAAAGAGAUGAAGAAAGAAGAGUUAGAGAUGUAGAAAUGAGAGCUAGCCAGGAAGAAAUGAGAGCUCUGCGUCAACAACAAAAUGAAAAUCAAUGUUGAAGAAGAAGAUGGAGAAGAUUUAGUCAUGUUUGGAAUUUUUUUGAAAUAUGGAUGGUUUAAAACUUCUUAUGAUUUGGAUUGUAUAGAUUUUAGAUCUUUUGUGAUGUUUGUAUUUUGAUGUAUUAUAUGUUUGGCUUGUAAGGGUAUUAGAUCAUGUUUGUAUUUUCAUGUAUCAUAUGUUUGGAUUGUAAGGAUAUUAGAUGAUGUUUGCAUUUUAAUGUAUGGAAUGUUUGGAUUUUAUGGAUA